rnacentral:rRNA from 1 species
GAUGAACGCUAGCGGCAGGCCUAACACAUGCAAGUCGAGGGGUAACUAGAGUGAUAGCAAUAUUACUUUGGCUAGACCGGCGCACGGGUGCGUAACACGUAUGCAACCUACCUUAUACUGGGGAAUAACUUCGAGAAAUCGGCGCUAAUACCCCAUAACACUGCGGAGAGGCAUCUCUUUGCAGUUAAAGCUCCGGCGGUAUAAGAUGGGCAUGCGUCCAAUUAGCUAGUUGGUGAGGUAACGGCUCACCAAGGCUACGAUUGGUAGGGGUUCUGGGAGGAUGAUCCCCCACACUGGUACUGAGACACGGACCAGACUCCUACGGGAGGCAGCAGUGAGGAAUAUUGCGCAAUGGACGAAAGUCUGACGCUGCCAUGCCGCGUGCAGGAUGACGGCCCUAUGGGUUGUAAACUGCUUUUGUACGGGAAUAAACCCUUCUACGUGUAGGAGGCUGAAGGUACCGUAAGAAUAAGCACCGGCUAACUCCGUGCCAGCCGCCGCAGUAA